ensembl:lncRNA
AAAGGGCGCUCUCCACGCGGACCCCGGCUCGAGGCCGGCGCUCCCGGGCGAGGAGCGAGAGGAGCCGCCGGGACGCGCCGCCCAACCGUCCCCGUGCCCGCAGCCUCCCAGAUCAGGAGCCCUCCUGUGGAGACCCCAAGGCGCUCCGUUUACUCCGCAGACCUAGGGCCACGGAAUACUGCCACCCGCUCUCAUGAGCGCCAUCCAGAAGGGCCCUGGGGCUUAACUAAUCAUCUGGAGGGCCCAGGAAUCCCACUGCUGGCCACACCUGUGACUCCCAGGCUCUGAACUGCGGCGGGGUCGGGGCUGCUCACUCGCUCCAGCACUGGCUCGAGAAGAUCGCUGACCUCCUUCUCCUGGGCCUCGGCCUUCUUGUUUUGGGGGCAAGAAGCUGAGGUGGGGAAGCAAGGAACACUGCAGCGGGGGCCCGUUCCUGCUCCUGGGCUCUGGCCAGGCUUUAUCCUCCCUGCAGUCUGAUGCCCUGCAGCAGUGGAGGCCGUCCGUGGCUGUCUUGGGGCAGCGGUCAGCCUCAGCUGGGCCCCUCCUCCGCUGAGCCCCCAGCAGCAAUCCCUGGCUGCAGGCCCUUCUCCACGGUGGCAGCCCCUAGUCACAGCCUGCCCCCCGAGGCUCUCCUCCCCAGCCUCCCCUGACCCUCACAGGCCUCCACCCUGCCCUGUGCCCUGGGAGGCUGGCUCCCACACCAGCUAGUUUCCGGCUGGAUCAGCCAGAGGCAGACACGAACAAGUGCCCAGGGCAGGGGGCUCCCUGGUGGUUUAGGUCAUCUUCCUGAGCUCCCGCCCAGCUUUAGUGCCCAGCCUCUGGCAGCGGCCACGCCCCUCCGUGACCUCAGCCACUGGGGAGUCCUGCUCCGCGGGCCCAGCUCCUCGUGGGUUCCAGAAACAUUAGCUGCUACCCUCGACCUUCGAGCUCAAAAGACAGUGGCUGUCCUGUUCGCGAGCCUCCAGUGCCCCUCCAUCUCCCCUCUGCUCCCCAAGGCGGCUCCACCUCUCCGUAAAUAGUGCCUUUGGUAAAGAGUCUGUAUCCAGAAUGCCUGGGAAGAACACGGCUUCCCGACCGAUCCUGUAACCAGUCGCCAGAGCUCACCUGCUGACACGGGCAGGAAUCAGUCUGUCUGUGGAAGGAAGAGACCCAGGGGAUGGGGCCGCGGAGGGCGGGAUGUGAGGCUGGUG